AGAGUUUGAUCCUGGCUCAGAAUCAACGCUGGCGGCGCGCCUAACACAUGCAAGUCGAACGAGAAAGCGGGAGCAAUCUCGCAAGUAAAGUGGCGUACGGGUGAGUAACACGUGGAUUAUCUGCCCUGGAGUGGGGAAUAACGCUGGGAAACCGGCGCUAAUACCGCAUAUUCCCGAGAGGGGAAAGCAGCAAUGCGCUCGAGGAGGAGUCCGCGGCCGAUUAGCUAGUUGGCAGGGUAAAAGCCUACCAAGGCUGUGAUCGGUAGCCGGCCUGAGAGGGCACACGGCCACACUGGCACUGAGACACGGGCCAGACUCCUACGGGAGGCAGCAGUGGGGAAUCUUGCACAAUGGGGGAAACCCUGAUGCAGCGACGCCGCGUGAGCGAUGAAGCCCUUCGGGGUGUAAAGCUCUUUCGGCAGGGAAGAUGAUGACGGUACCUGCAGAAGCAGCUGCGGCUAACUACGUGCCAGCAGCCGCGGUAAUACGUAGGCAGCAAGCGUUGUUCGGAGUUACUGGGCGUAAAGGGUGUGUAGGCGGCUCUCUAAGUUUGGUGUGAAAUCUCCCGGCUCAACCGGGAGGGUGCGCCGAAAACUGGAGGGCUAGAGUGCGGGAUGGGAGAGUAGAAUUCCUGGUGUAGCGGUGAAAUGCGUAGAUAUCAGGAGGAAUACCGGUGGUGUAGACGGCUCUCUGGACCGCAACUGACGCUGAAACACGAAAGCGUGGGUAGCAAACAGGAUUAGAUACCCUGGUAGUCCACGCCCUAAACGAUGCAUAUUUGGUGUAGGUCAUUCAGUUGAUCUGUGCCGGAGCUAACGCGUUAAAUAUGCCGCCUGGGGAGUACAGUCGCAAGGCUGAAACUCAAGGAAUUGACGGGGGCCCGCACAAGCGGUGGAGCAUGUGGUUCAAUUCGACGCAACGCGAAGAACCUUACCUGGGCUCGAACGGCUAGUCAACGAUCGU
rnacentral:rRNA from 1 species